rnacentral:tRNA from 1 species
GAAAAUAUAGCUCACCCAAGCUUUCCGCUGUAAACGGACAGAAUGUAGGUUAAAAUCCUAUUAUUUUCA